UACAGAGGGUGCAAGCGUUAAUCGGAAUUACUGGGCGUAAAAGCGUGCGUAGACGGUUACAUAAGUCGGGUGUGAAAGCCCCAGGGCCUCAACCUGGGAAUUGGCAUUCGAGACUGCGUAGCUAGGGUGCGGAAGAGGGAAGCGGAAUUUCCGGUGUAGCGGUGAAAUGCGUAGAUAUCGGAAGGAACACCAGUGGCGAAAGCGGCUCUCUGGGACGGUACUGACGCUGAGACGCGAAAGCGUGGGGAGCGAACGAGG
rnacentral:rRNA from 1 species